AUCACCUCAGAAAACCUCUAGACCUUCCAGUAAUGGGGGUGGGGCUGGAGGUGGGGGAGAUGCUUCGAGACUUCUCUGAUCAGCUAUGAAAAUGAGGUCAUGUUUGACAAACGGCAUUGUUCUGUGCGAGCAGCAGUCAACACACUUGGCAGGGAUAAAGCCUUGGAACACGCCAGUGAUUAUUUUUAAUUGGAUGGGCCUCGUGGCUGUAACAAAAAUCAAUGUAUUUCUGAGGCGGCUGCAGAGGCGUUGAUCCGACUUGGCCCUGCCGCUCCCGGGCGGCCAAAGGAUGCUGGCGCCAGGAAACAGGAGGCUCUAGGCCUUGGGCACAGGGGAUGAUGAGCCUCCCCUGGUUCCUCCUACUGCUGGGAUGAGUCCACUAUAAGCCAAGGCCAGAAAAGCAUGGGCUGGGGGUGGUGUCUAGGAGGGCAUGGGGUGCCCAAGGGUGCAGAACACAGCAGGGCCCAACAGGAGGCAGUGAGACGGGGAGCCUUGUAAUGCUCUUGUUUCUGGCUGGAGUCACCAGCGUGAGAUAUUUAAACUAAAACAGCAGAACGUCAUCUCCGGGACAUUGAUGAAGAAAGCAUGUCUCUCCUCCCUGCUGGCGGCUGCCCAAGACUGAUGCAUUCAGGAGAGAGAGAAAAGUAAUUGUACUCACACAUCAGAGAAGCCUCCAAUCUGGUUGGAAGGUUUUUCUCAAGGAAGACAAAGGCACAGCAUCCCUCGUCCCUCACUGUGUGGUUGUCUGUAGGCAGAGUGACCCCCCUUGUCUGCGAGCCUGGAGGGGCCCCAGGGCCUGGUGAGUGCUGGGGAGCUGUACCAGGGCGGACCUGCCAGGCCAGAGGCAGCAAACGCUAGAUGUGCAGGCUCAUGCCUGUGGCUGGGAAGCGCUCGACCCCUGGAGAGCUCGGCGAGGGAGCAGCACCAGGGCAGCUGAGGGGCCUUUUGAGGAUUUUUGGAAGUUGCUUCUGGACAGCCUUACCAGAAAGAAAGGGGGAAGCCCCUGUGGCAUCUGGGGGUUUGCUGCAACGCGUGUGAAUUGUGCCAAGUUGAGACUCCACUCUUCCUGAGAAGUCCCUGCUUCCCAGUCAAUAACAUCAAAAAGAAUUUAAAACUCUGUGUGGAUCACAUUCACAAGGCCCAGAGAUUAAGAUGUGGACUUCUAUUUUGGAGGGGGCUACCAUUCAGUCACCACCUGAAUUCAGUCACCUGAAACCUGGGGGAGCAGACUGGCUCAGCUUGUAAGCACCUCCCUGACCUGGUCUGUAUUUAGGGCCUAGUGAAUGUCUCUCAACUGAGCCAGGGCUUCAUCAACACGACAGCCUCCUGAGUUCAGUGGCAGGUCUCUUGCUCCUCAUCCUGCCUUGGAAGCUGUACCUCCCAGGAGGUGGCAGGGCCAUUCCCCAAAGGCCUCCACUGCAGUCUCUCCCCCAAUGAAAGCUUCUCUUCUUGUUCGUGGUCUCCUUUCGAAACUUGGCGGCCUGGUUUCCUUCCCUCCUGCUGUCUUCUUCCAGGAUUUACCCCAGGUGGGGCCUGAUGCAGGUGCCGGAGAUCCAGAAUGAGAGGGACCCAGAUGAGCACUUAAGGAUCCACCACCCCUGUGGUGGCACAGCUCACGGGUAAGGAUGCUCCACGGCACCCCAGGUGCUCUGGCCCACCACCCUGACACAUACAUCCUAAGGAUGCUGUGCGUCCUCUGGAAUGGCUCCUAAUCCCCUGGCAGUGACUAAGCACCUCCUAGUCACUGCUCCAGCCAUUAAUUUAAGCGCCACGUGGCCUGGAUGUCCUGUUCUCCUGGAGCGCCAAGGCUGUCCACAGAGCCAUUGAUUUAAGAGACAAUAUCACUUGCUUCCAAGUUUAUGAGGCAAUAAACAGCCCCCGCAUAUUGAUGAACGCCGAGGUGUUUGCUCAGCACAUUUGCUGUGCACAUUUAUUAUGAGGCUGUGCUUUAAAGCAAAUGAAACUGCACUAUCUUCUUUCCCUUUGGUGGGGCCGUGGCCCUCCCCCAAGCGCUGUCUUAAUCUAGUGGAUCCCUGGUCCCUCUUCCCAGGGCGCAGACUAGUGCAGACGCACGCUGGUGGCUCAAAGCUCGCCAUCCCCAUUCCCUGGGGUCCUGGGGAGCCUCUCAGGGCCCUGCCACGCUGUUGGAAGGGUCUAGGAGAAAGAGGGGAAAUGAAGAGCAUCGUUUUUCUGAGGCUCCCACCCGUGAGGCCUCUCCCGCCUCGUCUCACCCUCCCUGGAGAGGAGCGCACGCGAUAAUAAUAGAACCGAGCAACCCGCCAGCAGCCAUUCCCCGCGUGGCCUAACACACCAAAUAAAAUUCCUUUUCAUCUUGAGAAGCUGAGACGCUACAAGGCUGGGCUGCUAGUCCAUAAAGAUGAAUCUUCAGAGCAUUUACUAGCUGGAAUGCCCUGUGAAUCCAAACCGGUUUAUGUAUAAAAUAUUAGGAAGGUUCGGAGGAGGUGGGGAGGCCGGGUGGGGAGCAGGCAGGAGAGAUUGAUUGCAAACUUUGUGCCAACUGAGCAGUUCUGCGCAUGCCAAACAGCGAGAGAACAACACUUGAAAAAUGUAUUAGAUUAUCCAGAACACAACACUGAUUUAUAGGCGCAGUAAUCCCCGUCUUGCCAUCCGUUUCCUUAAUGGAGAGAGAUUAGGGUGAUGGUGGCACUCUGUUGGGACCUCCUGGCUCCCUCCCCACCCCUGCAGCCCCAACCCCAUGAUGAAUCACAUGCUAAAAGCAAGGGUUUGCGCUCUGAACCCCACGUUCUGAGGUGGAGGGUUUUGAGAUUUGAAGCAUUUCUGAGGUUGGAAGGAAAAUGGACGGAAUGAGGAAUUAGUUCUGAAAAAUCUAAUAAUACUGAUUGCUUAGAAUCACAAAGAGUUUCUUCACAAGAGGAGGCAAGUUCUCCAGGAGCAUGUUCGGUGUGGCUGGGUGGCUCACCUCCAGAGGGACCUCACAUGGUGGCUUCCAAAGGUCCCACCCAGAUAUAACUAAGGUCCCGAGCACACCGUCUUUGGGGCCACCUGAGUCGGGAAGGACAAGGACAGAGCUUGCCUUGAGGAGAUGCACCCUCACCUCUGUCACUGGCCACCUGUCUCUUCAGUAGGAAUUAGCCAACACCCAGUAUGUGCAACGCAUGGUGUGAGGCGCAUACGAGGUGCCUGUCUGCUGUCUACUAAGGGCUUUGUGAGACAUUUGAGGAAGCAAACCAGGAACCCUGUCCUCCACAGGCUUAAAUCCCAGCUGCAAGUAGGGCACAGUUGGGCUCCAGAGCCUUAAAUCCCAGCUGCAAAUCUGGAGCAAGUACACAAACCAAAUAGGAGCAGGCAUCUUGUCAAGUCCGGGAUAUGGAAGAUGAGCAAGAACUCCUGCGGAGGGGGGGAGGUGAGCUCAAGGGGACUUUUCUUUCUGCCCAGAGGGCUUCAGGGACAUGCUAGAGAGGGGAAGUUGUCUGGGUGGACAUGGUCCAUCCACAGGGCCUGCUCAUCAAUAUUUUUUGUCUCUCUGGAAGAUUUGUGACCCCUAGAUGCUGUCUUCCAAAAACUCUCUGUUCUAGGAAAAUUUCAUUGCUCAGUUUAUUGUUCUAGGAAAUAUUUUAAAGAACUCCCAUCUUUGCCAUCCCUUGUACCUUCCUAAGGCCACAACUGUUCAAGGACUCCUUGGCAGCUAUAGAAACUCCAGCAAAGUUCCCUGUGCCCAUGCAGGCGGGAGAGUCUGCCUCUCUGUACAUCUACUCCAUCAACAGAGGGAUCUCGCAGGCCUGGGACGAGGCAUGCUCUUGGUAAUUCCACCACCCUGUAAGAUGACCAGCUGCCACAGCUAUAUGGGAGAGAAAGCUUGGGGGGUGAAUGCCAUCAUCACCACUGGUACCAUUACCACCAUCAUCAUCCUCACCAUUACCACUAUCACCACCACCACCACCAUCACCUCCAUCACCACUAUCACCACCAUCACCACCACCAUCACCACCACCUUCACCAUUACCACCACCACCAAUCACUAUUUAUUCUGAACAGUGCCUGUGAGCCAAGCUCUUUGCUAAAGGCUUUACAUGUAUCUAAAUUAAUCCAGUGACUGAAGGACCACUACAAUCUCAUUUUAUAGAUGAGGACACUGAAGAUUAAAAAAGGUCACCCAGAUAAGAAGUGACAGAGCAGGAAAUCAAGUCUGUGUAGCCUGACUCCAAAGCCUGAGCUCACCGUAUACCAAACCACCUCUCCUCCUAGGGUAGGGCCUCUGGUUGUUAGGGAUUUCUUGAAGGCUUGAUGUGGGGACACUGAAAAGAUCAAUCACUUUAGGUCGUGAGCAAGCUGUAGAUGUAGCAAGAAUGGAGAUGUGAUCGUUACAUCCAUUAGUUCUUUGUAUCAUUUGUUCAUCUAUUCAUUCAGCACUGAUCUGGGUGGAAAAGGCAUGAAGAAGCAGAGGCAGUUCCUCCCUGGAGGAGCUCACCCACGGCCCUUCAGGAGCCGUAUGUGGCAGUGCCCCUGCCCUUGCUUGGGAGGCCUGCCACGGCCUGGUGGGUGUGUCUUUGCUCUGCUCUGAGAGCCUCCAUGGGGCUGGGUGGCAGGAAGUCUGGGCAUCCUUCACCCGAUGCCCCCUGUCUCUUUUCUUCCCACCAUCAACCUGAAUGUUAUGAACAUCUUUAAAAAAAACUACCCCCACAAGACAAAACUCUAAUCCAUCUUGCCUAAGACAUUUUCCCUUAGAUUUAAAACCCUGUGUAAUUUAAGAGAUAUGUAAUUCAUGUGUCUGCAUUUAAACCAUCAAAGUGCUUUUAAAAGAGCUAUUUGAAAUCUUUGGAGCUUUAUGAACCUUUAAAGUUCUUUCUUUGAAACAUGGGAAUCACACACUGCCAAGGAUAAAGAUAGUCAAAUACCAAAGGCUAGGGGUGGGUUUCAGACUCUAAAUCCAUGACAUUUCACUUUUACAAAACUGAAUUUCUCAUCUUUAACAUCCACUUCCAGUUGGGACCGCAGGCCGACGAGGAAUUGUCACACCUUUGGGUGCCCCUGCACCCGGAGUAUCAUUACUCGGCCUGCACAAGGGCCGGAUCCACCCCAGGGCCUGGCGCCCACCAGCGGCUGCACUGGGACGUGACUGUGUUACGUCAUUGGUGACCUUUUCCAAUGCACCCCAAA